CUGCAGAGAGAGAGAGAGAGAGAGAGAGAGAGAGAGAGAGAGAGAGAGAGAGGGAGCGCACGCGCGCGAUAACAAUGGCCACCGUGAACGUCGGAACCCUAAUCCGCUCCGUGGCUGCUCCGCCGCCUCCUCCGCCGCGCACCGCUGCACACUCCGUUCCCACGGCGCCACGCCGCCUCUUCCUCCUCCUUUGCUCCGCCGCCCCCGCCACCCCCUUCAUCACCUCCGCCUCCUCCUCCGCCGACGCCGCAUUCUCCUUGGGAAUCCCGGGGCCGAAGGAGUGGCUGAGGGAGCAGAAGAAGAAGGCGGCGAAGUACGUGUUGGCGCCGAUCGACGCCUCGCGCUAGACCCUACGCAAUGCCUAUCAAUUACUCGAGGCCGCACCCGAUUCAGCAGCGGAGAAAACCAAAGAGGAGGUUCGCAGCCUACUAUAUUCGGCGGCGAGGGACUGCGUGCCCGAGCAGAGGAAUUCGCUCGUUGCCUUUCAGUCUCAAACAGGGGUCGAGGUUUGAGCUCUCUUUCUUUUUCUCCAUCUCUUCAAAGUAUUAGUGGCUCUCAAAUCUCCCGGACGGCUUCGCACUGCAGCUAGAAACCAGAAACUUCGUAUAGCAGAUUCAGCUCCUGAGGGCUAUAACCUCAUUUUGGUUUCUUGCCGCAAUGUGCAGCUCUAGAAAUUUAGCUUGGCAAACAUCCGAUGAAGAAGUGAGAUAUUCUGUUGCGAAAGGUCGGAGUUAUUCUGUUGUCACAAUAGCUAAAACCUGAACUUCUAGAAUCACAAAAGAAUAUUCCCUCAUUGCACACGAUAUGGCUUAAUAACUAGUUCCAACAUCCAAACAAACGUUAAUGCUGGGAAAUAUAUU